rnacentral:tRNA from 1 species
GGUCCUGAGGUGUUAUCAUGUCGGAUUGCAAAUCCGAAGACGCGGGUGGUUCUCGCCGGGACUU